rnacentral:lncRNA from 1 species
AAAAAGCACCCAAAGUGUGUGUUUGAUGUUAGGUUCCUUCUUUGAUGUCAAUAAGGUUCAAUGCGGAGGCAUUUGAAAGGGAUUACAAGCCACCGCUCAGCUCCACAAUUAAAUGUGGCAAGUUUAGUUUGGUAGUUUAAAUAUACAAUCACCAUUCGCAGCUAAGAACAGAAAUUAGUAGAAACUGACCUCGUCAUUCCAUGCUUGCAAUUUCAAGCUCUGUACAACCUUGGACAUGCCCAAAUCUACCAUCUCUGCAGCAAAGUUCCCCUUGCUUGAAAGGUUGUUUAAUGCCAUCAUAGCAAUUCUCACAACCUGUUGUACACAGUAGCUUGAUCAGUCAGCAUUCAAAUAACUAAAGAUGCUGCAGAGGAAUACUUUCUCCUAAUUGAAGCAACUCAGAGUAACUGAGAGAUAAAGAGGUACAAAGAUGAGAUUUGCAAACUGCAGUUUUGCCAUUGAUUAACUAUCAUGUAAUCUGCCGAACGAAAAGAGAGAAAUCGCAAUGCACAGCACAAUACAGCUGUCAUGAAGUUUAUUCCCAAUCCCACUGUGCAAGCGUAUUAAAAAGACUUUGUUGCUUGAGAAAACAAACUCAAAAGCAAGACAUUACAAACUAAAGCUCUGUAGGUUGCAUCAAAAACACCUUUUCUUUAGUGGAUAUCUUCACAACUUCCACUAGGCGGGAUAUGACUCUCGCUGUGGAAAACGAUUCCACAACACCAUCAUAAAAAGAUAGAAGCCAUAUGCACAGCAACGCCUCAUACAGCAGCUGCAACAAUUAGGGGCUUGAGAAGUUGUUAGAAUAAAAUCUGUACGUCAGUUUCAAAAAGGAAAACAAGAGGAUCAUAGAAGUUCACAGACAACUAAGAGAAACUUAAAUCUAAUCUACCUAAACACCCUAUAAGAAAAAGCUUAGACACCACAACACUAUCGGCAGUAAAAGUGCAUCAUUAAUAACAGCAAUAGGAGGGGGAGGAUAAUGACCUGAAUGUAUUGCUGGUUGGUAGCAGGGGUAACUAAGGGAGCUAGAAGCUUGACGCCAUCAGCCUUCACAAACAUAGCUCGCACUUUUGAAACACGUAAGAGGGUUGCCAAAGAGCUCACAGCAGUGGGAAUCCCCCGAGAUGGAUGUGACGGGUUUCUUAGCUGCACACAGAUGCCACCGGUUAAAUUAUUUAUGAAUUAAACUUCAAGCUAUAUUGAAUGUUAUUGCAAGAAACGAACCACGCCAUGAUGAAUCUGCUAGUCAAAUCAAACAGCCCUAAAUGAAGCUUCCUAAACCAAACAGGUAGGACCUCUACCUGUGUGAUGAGCCAAUCCAGAACACUCCGGAGAACCUCGUUAAAUGUGUCUGCCUUUUUCUGUGAAGCUGUAAUAUCUUCAAGAUCUGUCUCUUCAUACUGCCGGGCACUGCAACACCCUAGCCACAAACUUGAUCAGUCAAGCACCUCGCGGAUAUAAAAAGGAAUUGUGCUUAUUCAUGUGAAAUAUUGGUGAGACAUUACCAUUCAACGUAAAAAUAACUUUUAAAGCGUUCUCUGACCAAAGAAAAGGCACAUCUAUAAAUGCCCCUUCCGGUAACUAAUGUCAGAAUUAUAGAUUACUUACCUGAUAAUCAAUGUGAGAAUCUUGCAGCUCUUCUCUUGAAUAAACCAAUUCUUCUUUGACAGCAACCUGAAGCAGACCCGCGGUAAUAUGAUAAGUGGGAGGAGGAACUCUCUUUCUCUUUUUCUUUCUCUAUCUCUAACACUCUCUCAGUACUUCAAAAAUGAAUGAGCCUGUAAAUGAGCAGGAACUAACCUUACAAACGGUCGGUAAACAUCCUCAUUGUCUUGGAAAGACUUGUCAUGAAAUAAACGAGCACGCGUUGGGUUCGCUGCCAAAAUGAGGACAGAAAUUUAUUCAACUAAGUUAUGAUCAUAUAGCCCUCCCAUGAUAUAGUAUCCCCACAUUAUCAAACGACACGUCGAUGAACACUCUACAUCAUGUCUUUGAAGUCGCCGCUCAUAAAUACUAGAUAUCUAUUACUUUAAACACAUUCGACUUGCAAAUCGAGGCCGAGAAUAGGAAGAUAUCAAAAUUCAGUAAAAUUCCAGCAAUGGCAGUCUAACCCCAGUCCAGAAAACCACCAAUUCACGAUCAUUUUGUGAUUCCUGUCAACAAACUGUCGUGCACAUACGAACUUAAGAUCGCGUAUUUUUUAGCAAAGUACCUGUGAGCAUCUCGUCCACCAUUGCGAGCAUAUAUUCAACAGUUUCCUGCUUGGAGAUGUCUCGUAGAAUGCCCACGAACACUUUGACGUAAGCUACUCCAUUCUGCAUUCCCAAUUCAGGUACAAAGAUUCUUAGAAAAACAAUAUCAACAAUCCGUACCGUAAGGAAACCAAUAUUUGGAUUUCGCAUUACGAACAGCAGCAAUAAAAAAAACCAUAAAUCGACUCAAAUGGUCUAUUCUUGAAAACACGAAAUUCUAGAAAACUAAUACUAAUUAAACAUAGAUGUAAAUUUAAGUGAAGAAGAUUCAGUACUCUACGAACCGCUAAUGAUAGACGUAUCUCCAUAUCACUUGUGACUGGAAAAAUAUACGAUAUUCUUAAGAAAGGGAUCAAAACUAAGAUUAUAACAAUGCAAGUUUCCAAAACUGAAAUCCAAUUUAGAUCCUGACAUGAAGGUCAUAAUUGGUCUCUACAGUAAAACCCGGCAAAUUUUGUUUUAGGUUUAACCGCAAUCUACUCAAGAUUGGUUGUUUUCUUGCUUGACGAACGGAACCAGUACAAUCUACUCAGGUGUAUACUAUCUUCCUUCACAGAAACUCAGCGAGCAGCAGUUGAAUUCGGUUCAGCUGCACACCGAAUUGGCAACAUGGAUCCACCCCAGUUGAGAUAACAAGCCAGCACGUUUCUAUCCAGAUGCUAAUCGCUAGGUAGAAGUGUCCUGCAGCUCUCGACCAGAGAGCAAUGGCAGGGCAAGAAAUUCAGCAAAACGUGAAAAUAUUUACCUCAUCCAGCAAUGCAGCUUGCACGUUGUCCGGACGGUGGUCAUACCGCCUGAGUAGUUGCAAUCCAGUGCUGUUGAUCAGCUUGGCUGUCAUGUACGUCUCCCAUGGGAUAUCCCUUUUCAACACCUACAACAAUCAAAUCAUCUCUCCAUCAGUCCUACUAUUGCGCACAACCAAACCCACCAUCCAUCACUCAAAAAACCAAUCUCCCUACCAUUAAACCUAAAAUCCCUCACUGGAUCGUCUCCUCCUCUGUCGUUGCCCUAAUCCUCACCUCUGACCCCAUCCCGACCAACAUUCCUUUCACCACUUCCCAUCACCACCGCUUGCCAUACCCCGAAUAAGCUGCCCUCUAUCACACUACGAAUCACUGCUACACACCACAAAAUCACGUCACCGCAAAAAUCUACUACUACCCAAACAUGAAAAUCACAAUCUCCACAGUUGUUUCACCUCCUCUCUAGUAAGCUCGGUGUCCAUGACGCUCGAUCAAUUGAUCGAUCUUGCCCUCUCAAGCUCUCUCAAUCCCUUGCUUCUCGCUCGCUCUCUCUCUCUCUCUCGCUCUCGCUCGCUCGCUGAUGUCAAUCAAAAGCACCGCUGGUGCUGGAGAUCUGGCCUCAUUAAACACCACAGAGUGACAGACGAAGAGUGCAAAGCCGAUUGAAAGAGAAAGCAAACAGGGGAGAAGGUAAGCAAAGCACAGCUAAGCUAGGGCAGACCACGAGAAACAACGGACGAUUUAAGGACGAAGGCCUUUGAACUCCGCUUCAGGCUCGGCCAUAUGUACACAACCAAACCCAUUCUUCGAUUGCCAGUGUGAACGCGUUCCGUCUCUCCCGUCUCUACCGGCUACUGAUACCCUCAACUGAUACCACUACAUAUAUCCUUAUUGAUACCCGUUAAUAUUCCGAGGCGAAGAUGUUACCGGGCUCGGGCGUCGUGAUGCCUGGUAUCUGGUUGGCGAUGUCGCAGCCCGAGUAUCACCCAGGUGUAACUCUCUUAACUGUUCAACCUCAUGGAUUGUUUAGAGAAGAAUUUGUAGUUACACAGUAAGUGUGACAACUCCACAUGUCAAUCUUGUUUCAAAUAAACGUGGACUAAAAUUCUGAGUCUUGAAAAAGAUACUUCCCGGGCUUGGUAAAAUUUCCUAAGGUUAAAUUAGUUGGGAUUUAUUGAUGUCAGUAAAUUCAUGUUUUGCUUAUACUUUUUUUUGCUUUGAUGUGUGUUGUUUAAUGUAUCCAUCGUGAUAAGAUUUUUUUUUUUUUUUUUAAUUAAACCUUCAAAAUUAAAAUUCUAACUUCAUGGGAAAUGUAGAUUAGACCUAUGAAAAUUUGAGCAUGAUUAUACAUGGUGUUUUUUAACUGUUUCUCUGCUUAAAUCUAAUGUGCAGAUGUUUUGAUUCUAUCCAUGUGAUGGUUUUAUAAUGAGUAAUCCAUUUGAAAUGCCUCAAUAUGUGUUAUAAUAUUAUUAUAAUAAAUAUUUUACACUACAAUCUUAAUCAAUCUGAUUUUAUUUAUGUCUCUAUCUAUGCAUAAAUAAUAAUUGAAAUUCAUGAAUUUUAAUAGUUGAAUCCUUUAAAAUACAAUUUACUUCAAAAUAUACUUGCAUUGUAACUUUAAUAAAACAAUAAUUAUGUUCAUAAAUGUUAUUUUAAACCAAGGAUUUUGUUGUCAACUCCAGCUCUUUCAAAAUUCCUACAUAGAUAAUACUUAAGGGACUUUCUGAAGAAUUUCUCUUAGUUGCCAAAGAAGCAGUAGGCAGCCUUGGUCACACCUUAGACACUGGCCUUGACAAUGGACACUCUCUGGAGCCUCAGUUUGCAUGGCCAUGAACUCAGGCACUGGUUGGGAGCUUGAACUCAGAGUGUCCAACCUCAUGACAAAUGUGAAGAAAUUUGUGUACAUUACUUAUCUAUACCUACCUAUCAACUAUUAAUUUUGCCUAUAGACUACUCACUGUAUCAAAAAUUGCCCAACUUUAAACUUACAUUAUUCUUUCAUGGAUAACUCGCUAAUAUUGAUCUUAAGAGAUUAAUUUUGAUUAUGCAUUGAACUGAUCAGAUAAGAGGUACUUGCCUCUGAAUCUAUACUACCAACAAAGGCACACUCAAAUUCUAACGUCUUCAACAAUUCUAACGUCUUCAACAAGACAUGUGAUAAAUUUGAACAUCAUCAAGCUAUGGACCUAAACACAUCUGUCAAUGGGUACAAUUCAAUAUCUGUGUCCACAUCUGCUCAUAAUCUAUGUUUAGAUCAAAUUGUCAUUGCUGUUCUUUCUCAGCAGCAACUAAUUUUUUCUUAGCUAAUAUUAUUUUGGAGCAAGAAUUUAGCAAAGCAGCUUCAUGAGUAGGCUACAAAGCUCUCCUUCCAACACUUCCAAACUAACCUACAACCUACACAAAUGGAUCUUCUUUGGCAUUGGCUUUAUUAGAGAACUUGUUAAUGUAAAUUUCACUCCUCAAUCCCAAUUACAAGAUGGCCUCAAUGAAGAAUUGCUUGUAAUUGGUGGUAUGAAGGGAAGUAAGCAAUUAACAAGAACAAAAGAUGAACAACCACAAAACAAUUGAAAUGAAUGACAUGAAGCAAGUACACAAUCAAAAACUAAGUCACAAUUUGUUCAUUGUAUUUUUAUCUGGUAAAAAGUAAAAGUAAAAAGAAAAAAGUAAGUUUUUAGAUAGUUAAAUUUAUUAUCUUUCCAAUGACGUAAGGAACAUAUAAAUCCGAAUUACUAUGAGUAAGUUAUAAAGUUUUAAAAAAAAGGAAGUAAAUAAUUAAAAGUGAAGUGAAAAUAUUUUACCUCAAGGGUAACUUGCUUAUAGAUCAAGGGUUCGAGCUUCACCAAGGCUCAUUGUAGUGUAAACCAGUUUUUUAAAGAAGCCUUGAGGCCUUAGUCUUAUCUUCCUACCUACAUCCAAGGUGCUACAACCCAUAUGGGACUUGUGCACCUCCCUUCUUACAAGGAUUAUACUGGUCCUCAUAUUUUUUACUAGUAGAAUUAAUAUUUUUGCAUUUUUGACUUCACCAUGGUAUUUAAAAACACCCAAUUAGCCUAGAAACAUUGAGUGGCCUUCAAACCUUGUUCCAUUUCUUCAUAAUGGCUCCCCGAGUGAUAAAACUUAAUUUUACUAAAGUCUUGAAAAUUACCCUAAAAAUUCUUAGAAAAUUCUAAAUAAAUUCUAAAUAAAUUCUAAAUAAAUUUUAAAAAAAUUUAUAAUGUUUCCAUAAUUUUAAUAGAAAUUUAAGGAUAUAAUUUCAUAUAUUAUUGAUUUUUUAUAGUAAUAGAAUAAAUUUAAAUCUAUUAUAAAUUCUACUUUCUAUAUAAAUAACUAAAAAGACAUGAGAUUCUUUCUCAUGCUUCUUUUAACUACUAACUAAAAUUUAUAUUUUUUGUACAAGUAAUACAUAUAGAUAUAAGAUCAAUAUAAAUAUUGAUUUUAGUAACUAAUCCUUACUCCUCAAUAAUAAAUAAAAAUACUAAUUCAAGUAAAAUAAUUACCUCUAAGACUUACUAAGACUCCAUUUCUUCUCCGCUAAUACUAUUCUUCUUUCUUUAAUAUCUUCUAAGCAUAUCUUUAGCUAAUAAUUGUAAUUUUGGCACUCUACAUGUAUUCUUUUGUCCUAAAACAACUAGUGUGCCAAUCUGUUGAUUCACAGAACCUUCCUUCAAAUGGAUGUAGCAAUUCUUUGCACCGCAAAGAAGACUUAAGUCUUCUUUUUCUCCCUCAACUCAUUACAUAUUGAAUCUUCUGUACACAUUACAACCUGCAACUAAAUUUUAAAAAUCACAUUCAAUUGCUGGUAAUUAUGCAUCUUCAAUAAACAAAGCAACAAAACAUAAGGAGUCCAAGUACAUGAGUUGGCAACCUGAGAAAACUGUAAGACUUCACAAUAAUCACAUAUGAAACACUCAAGUUGCAAAGGAAUAAGUUGCAUAGGGAUGAAGAUGUCGUGUCUCCAUGUAAUCACAAUUCACAAAAUCUAGUUGCUCCUACACUUGAUGCCAUUGUCAACUCUAGAAUUUUCAUAGUGCUUAAUGAAACUCCUUAGGAGGGUGCAAAGUAUGUUAUAGAUAAUAUAGGGCUUGCAUUAAUGUGAACAACACCUUUAAGGGCCAAGACCCUUGAUCACAUCUCAAAGAGAGGUUCUUCUCAAAGGUGUGCAACUAUCUUGUAAUCCUAGAUUGGCUACAAAUAGAGGGCAAUAAGUACCAGAAAUAUUGACAUCAAUUUAUAGUUGUGAAUUCCACAAAUUGAUCUUAAUUAGUGGAUUAGUUAAAAACAUAGUUUUAAGUCAUUCAAUUAUACAAAUGUUAAGAAUAGAGAGUUUUUGUUUGACUAUUUGAGUAUUUAUUAUAAUUUAAAAGUAUUUAUAAAUUAAAAAAGUGUUAUUAGAAGAAAAUUUAUAAAAAUAGAGACUUAGUAAGUCUUAGAGGUAAUUAUCUUAGUUAGUUUAGUAUUUUUCUUAUUGUUAAUUAUUAAGAAUUAGUUAUUGAAACCAAUAUCUUCAUUGGCUCCUUUUUACAUGUAUUACUUAUAAAAUCCUAUCAAUGAUUAGUUAGUAGUUAGAAGAAGCAUGAAAAAGAGCUUCAUGUCUUUUUAAUUAAUUAUAUAUAAAAUAAGAUUUUUAGUGGAUUUAAAUUGAUUUUAUUACUAUAAAAAAUCACUAAGAUAGGAAAAUACAGCCUCGUAUGGAUAUUAGUAUUAUAUAAAUAGUAUAGGAUUUAUUUAGAAUUUAUUUAGAAUUUAUUUAGAAUUUUUUAUGAAUUUUUAGAGAAAAUUUCAAGACUUUGGUAAAAUUGAGUUUUAUCACCUUGAGAGCCAUUAUGAAGAAAUGAAGCAAGAUUUGAAGACUAUGCAAGGUUUCUAGGCUAAUUUGAUGUUUUCAAACACCAUGGUGAAGUCAAAAAUGCAAAAAAAAAAAGUAGUUUUAUUAGUAGAAAAUAGGAAGAUCAGCAGCUAGUAUAGUCCUUGUAAGAAGAGAGGUGCACAAUUCCCAUAUGGAUUGUAGCACCUUGGGUAUAGGUAAAAAGAUAAGACUAAGGCCUCAAGGCCUUUUAAAGGGGGGAUAUACACUACUUAUGAGCCUUGGUGAGGCUCGAACUCCUGAUUUCAGAAGCAAGUUAUCGUUGAGGUAAAAAUUAUUCACUUAACUUUUCUAUUUUUUACAUUCUAUCUUUAAUCUAUCAUAACUUACUCAUAGUAUCUUGUAAUUACAUGAUUUUUAUGUCAUUGGAAAGAUAAAAAAAUUAUCUAUCUAAAAAUAUAUAUUUUUACUUUUUACUUUUACUUUUUACUUGGUAAAAAUCCAAUGAACGGACUGUGACUUCGUUUUGGAUGUUGUGAUUACUUGAUUUCAACUCUUUUACUUGUAUUGUGGUUGUUCCUCCUAGGUCUUUUGCCAAUUGCUUACUUCACUUUAUAAGCAACUCUUAAUUGAGGCCAUCUUGUAAUUAGGGCUGAGGAGUGAAAUUUACAUUCACAAUAGUAGAGCCAAGUUUCAAUUCAUAUAGCAAAAUCAUCUGGAAAAAUAAGCAAAAUUAACAAUAGUAGAGGAUAUAGGGCCAAAAUACAACGUGAUGGAUGCAUGACAACUAGAGCUAAUGAUUUCUUCCUAAAAUGACACAAUGUCUCCAAAUCUUUCUAUUAGUAGGAAAAAAAAGGCCAAAUAUCUAUCAUUGUCUUGAGCUCAAAAGGUGUGGCAAAAAACUUGAGAUGUCUAUAUGACCUAGGCUUGUUUUGCACAUAAAGCCCAAUACAAUAUAUCCAAGUUGAUCCUUCAAGGCCUUGAAUAUUCAAAUCUUAUGAUAUGAUAGAUAGGAACCUUAUAGGAUCUAUAUAAAUUCAUUACUUGGAUGUAAUGAUGUUGUGUUAUAACACAACCACUAAAUGAAAGUAAAAGAAAAAAAUCACAUUAAAAAAGAGCUUAUUUUAAAAUAUAGUAGAGAAUUAUUUUAAAAACAAAGAUAAAAGUUAAGAUAGUAGUAAAAAUAAUUUAGUGCUAAUAUCAUCUUUUGAUAAAAAAAAAUAGCUUUUCUUUACUUUGUAGAACUAUUAAUUAGUAAAAAGUUGAAAGCUUAGCAAAAAUAACAUUAUAAGUAGGUAUCUUUAAGUAAAAAUAAAUAAUAGUUUUCAACAAAAAUUACCUCAAAAAAUCUUGUAUUGAUACUUAGCUAGGACCAAUUGUGAAUUAGGAUAAAAAAUAGACUAUAAGCUAGGACCAAUUGUGAACUAGAAUCAAAAGUAGAUUAUGAGGCAUAAAACCACAUACCUACUGUAAAUAUGAGUUUUUUAUUUUAUUUUAUUUUAUUUUUAAUCAAAGAAAAAAUUUAAAAGAAGAUGUAGAUAUUGUUUUUAUAAGCUUUGAUUUUGAGAAAUAUGAAUUUAUAAUUACUUUGUAAAAACUUUACAAAAUUAAGAUUAUUUUGGAUGACUAUAUUAUUAAUUUGGAAUAAAAAAAGGUUACAUUUUAUUAAAUUGAGUAAAUUUUAUAACAAAUCUAUGGAUGAAAUAUUAUACAUUUAUUGAAAUAUUUGUAUUAUAAUUAUGUUAUAAAUUUGAAGAUAAUUUUAUAAUUCAAUCAAGUGUAAUUGAGAUUCAAGUAAAUUAGGAUCUCAAAAAUAAAAUUUUGAAGGUCAUUGAGAUUUUCUAUGAUUUUAAUCAAUUGCUAGUUGGAUAAAAAUAAUUUUUUGAUGUACUAAUAAUUAACUUAGAUUUAAAAUUUAUAAAAAAUUUGAAAAAAAAUUAAUCUUAGAAAAAGGAGAAUUUUAUGCAAGAAGAUUUACAUUGAGAUUGGAGAAGGAAGAUGACCAAAAAACAAUCUAAUUAAGAGCAUUUAUUUCUUUACAUUUGAAAGAAAAUCAAACGUUUGAUUUUCUUUAAAAAAAUUAUAUUUUUUAUCAAAUAAUAAAUUGAAAUAUAUAAAAAAUUGAAUGAAGAUUUAUAAUUAAAGUAAUAAUUAUAAAGAUUUAAAAUUUUCUAUUAAAUUCAUUUAGGAUUUGAUUAAAGUUUUUUAAGAUUUGUUAGGAUUUGUUUAAAAUUUGAUUAAAUAUUUCUAGGAUUUUGAAGAUUUUGAUUAAGAUUUACAUAGAUUUUGAUAAGAAUUUAAUUAAGAUUAAAUUAAAAUUUGAUUAGAAUCUAAAUAUUAUUGAUUUAUUAUUUAUAAUUUUAUUUAAAAUUUUAAGGAUUUAAUUAGUAUUUUUGAAUAAUUAUUUAAGAUUUAUUUGAAAUUGAAUUAAGUAAAAUAAGAUUUUUUAGAUUUUUCAAGAUUUCCAAGAAGGUGUUUUUAAACACGUAUUGAGUUGUUCUUUUGAGUUGUAAAUCCAACUUCAAGAUAAGAUCAAUACAUUCUUAAGGUAUUUUCACAUAAUACUACAAUAAGUAAGGACCAUAUGAGACAUAGAAUGAUUGAGCAUUCACAUCAAAUAGAUAACAAACUUAUAAGAUCUAAUAAAUUUUAACAUUUAAUUUUAAUAUAUUGCAACUAAAUAAAAUCUAAUUCUAAUUACAAUCUAAGUUGAAGAAAUAAUAAUCUCACAUGAUCCAAGUUGCUAAGCUCAUUAAACUUAAUAGAUAGUAACUUGGAAAGUUUGACAUCUAAUCAUAAUAUAUAUCUUGCUAGUAUCUCAUAUUUCACUAACCAUGUUUAGUCAUACUUUGUUUUUAGUACAAAGGUCUUGGAUGUGAAAGUUUCAUCUAUAGCCUCCAAUUUAAAUCCUCUAAUAGAUUGUAAUAUUAGCCAUGAUAUGCUACAAGAUCAAGAAUUAAUUUCUUUUCAUCUAUAAUUAAUGGUAAUAGAUAUAAGAGAUCUUAUAGAUAGGACUUAAAAUUACUUUUUAAUUAUAGAUAGAAAUCUUAAUUCACACUUAAGUUUUAAGCAAGUGAAUAGAACAAGAAGCAUUUAGUAAUAACAAGUGAUAAAUUGAGAGAUAAUUGCUCAAUUUCUUCUUAAAUUUUUACUGUUUAAGUUAAAUAAAAGUAAUCUUUAAGAAGAAAUGAUCUAAUACUUUGGUUCUUUAUCCAAACAAGAAGCACUUAAAAUAGCUAGACAUAAUAAAAUUUAGAAUUUUAGUGGACCAAAGAAAAAGAAAAAGAAAAAAAAAUAUAUAUAUAUAUAUAUAUAUAUAUAUAUAUAUUUUUUUUUUUGUGUAAAACCAAAGUAUUGCAAAUAUUAUUUACACAUAUAAAACAAACUCCUACCUCUACUACCUUUCUCAACUUCAUUGCUUGAAUAUUGAACUUUUUAAAAGCAUUAUUUCUUGAAGUAAUCCUAAGCUUCUUCUACAAUAAUUAUGUAAAAUAAAAAUUUAAGAAUUAUAUAAUUCUUUAUAGCCUAAUGUUAGGUAAUCAAAGUUAAGUAAUAAAAUAGAUAAAAGAAUAAAUUUAGGUAAUCAAAGGUCUGAUAAGUUAUAAAACACAUCUUACAAAAAAAUUAUCCUAGUAAUUUAAAGGAAACACCAAGAAAUUUUUAUAGAGGUUAUUCAUUAAAACCAAGGUACCUUUCUCUCACUAAGGAUCAUCUUAAUUAAUUUUUUAGUUUCCUAAGAGACCAUAAAUUAGUCUAAGACUUCAAAACAAUCCCUCAUUCUAUUAAAAUUUGAUUUUCCUAAAGUUUUUGAGCAUUUCAAUUAUGAAUUUAUGUUUAAACCUCUAGAACCACUUAAAUUUAAUAAUUUUUUGUUUUAUAUGAAUAAAACUAGCAUUUAUAGUGCAAGUAAAAUAAUAAAUAUUAAUAAAAGUUUUAUAAACUAAUUUCCAAUAGAGAGAAGUAUAAGACAAAGAUGUCUUUUGGCACCUUACCUCUUUAUCUUGAUUGGUGAAAUUCUUGAUGUUGCUAUUUAGCAUGUUGUCUAACAACAUCUAUGAGAUCUUUCUAUUUUAUAGAAUCUCUAUAAACAAGUCAUUAUUCAACAUGCCAAUUGAUUCUAUAAUUAUAAUAUAUAAAGAGGAAAUUUGUUUUUUUAUUUGAUAAAUAAUAUCAAGAAAUUUAUCUUAGCUUUAAGUCUUGAAAUAAAUUAGUCUAAAUUUAAAAUCUACUUGCAAUUUAAAUAAAUAUUUCAACUUACUUUAUUAAAUCAAGUUAGAGACACAUGAGCAUUAAAAUUAAUAUCAAUAAUUUUUUUUUAAUAUCUUUUGGUAUUUCCUUGACCAUAUAUGAUAUUGAUUAAUUUUUAUCAAAACAUUUCCAAAAAAAAUAGAUUAUUAGUGCUCUAUUAAAAUCAAUUUACUAAUUUAAGCCAUCAUUUUAAAUAAAAUAUUAAUUUUCUUAUUAUGUUUCUUACUAAUCAUAUGAAUUGCUUUGAUAAAGACCAUUUAUUAAAGUAAAUGUUUGAUAAAAUAUUUAAUAUAAAAAGUAUAACUUCUUUGAUGUAAUUCAAAGUGGUUUGAAUUAUUUAUUGCAAAGAUUGUAAUAAAAGUAGCCAUAGCACAAAUAAUCCAAAACGUACUAUUAAAGCUUUCAUGUCCAAAUGGAAGUUAAUGGUUCUUUAAGCAAAAAAAUAAAUGUCUAAUAGUUUUUAGAUAUUAAUUAAUGAAUGCUAAAUUAAUGGCUUUUAGAAAUUAGACAUUAUAUUUGGUUUGGUCAUUUAUUUUAAAUUAAAAAUAGAGUAUUGGAACUAAAAUAUAGAAUAAAAUUGAAAGAAUUACAUUUCAUAUGUGUAAGUUUUUUUAGUUCCAAUUUUCAUUUUCUUUUCAUAAUGCAAAAAAAUACUUUCUUAUAAUAAUUUUUUUAUUAUUAAUUUAAAAUCCUAUUAAGCUUUAAUUCUAUUUACAAAUGGUCUUUAAAGAAUCAAAAACCUCUUUAAAAUAUUGGUAUUUCUUUUUACUACUAAAUAAGCUAUAUGUACUUUUUAUAUUUUUCUAAUUUUUAGUGCUAUUUAGAAUUUCUUUUCACAUUUAUUUUCCAAUUUCAUAAAAAAUAUACUUUAUUAUAAAAAUCUCUUUUUAAAAUUUAAUAAGUAAAUUAGAUUAUAUUAAUCAUAAUCUAAUAUUUUUUAUAAAAUAAUAUUCUAAUUUUGGAUAGAUUAUAAUAUAGUAAAGAAAUAAUUGAUGGGUCUUUAUUGAAUAUUGAAGUAAGUGAGUAAAAAGAAAAAAAUAAAAUAAGUUACCUUAUAGAAGAUAUUAUCUUAAGUAAGUUGCUAAUGAUUAAAGGUGAAUUGAAAAAAGAUCUUAAGAUAUAGAAGAAUAUGCCAAAAGAUCUUAGGAUAUUUUAUAAUAUGCUAAAAGAUUUUAGAUUAUGUCAAAAGAUCAUUAGAUAAUAUAAGAGCAUAAAAAAUAUGCUAAAUGCAUAUCUUUGUAGUAAGUAAGAUGCCUAAAGAUAUACUUGGUGUAUCUUUCGAUGAAUGCAAAAGUCAAAGAAUUGAAGUUAUUAAUAAGAGCAACAACUACUACCUAUAAAUAAUGGAUAUUAGAAGUGAAAUUUAACUUACUCCACAUUUUCUAUUUGUGCAACCUUGUUGAUGUUAUAUGUUGAAAGUGCUUGCAAUAAACAAGCAAAAGUAUAGAAGGUUUUUUGCAAUAUUUUUUAAAGUAAAAACUUUACAAAUAUUUUAUAGAUAAAGAAAAAAAAAAAAACUUAACAAUUAGGAUGGAAGAAGGUGAUUAUUUCAAGGCUCAUGUCAACAAGGUAAAAAUUCUUAUAAAUCAAUUAAUUAUUAUUGACAAGUCGAUAUAUAAUUAUGACAUUGUCAUGAUCUUACUUUUGAGCCUUUUCAAGUUCUAUAAAUAUCUUAUUAUAGCAUUAGAAUCUACCAAGAUUAAAGAACUUAUAUUACAUUAUGUUAUGAUAAGACUUGUUUAUAAAAUAAAUAAUAAUAAAAUAAUAUAUAUAUAUAUAUAUAUAUAUAUAUAUAUAUUAAAAUAAAGAUUCAACUUUCUUUUUAAGAGAAGAAUAAAGUAGAUAUGUCAACCAAUGUGGUAAUGUAAAAAUUAAUAUUAGAACUUGCUUCAUUCGUAAAGAAUUAUGUCAAUUUGUAAAAAAAUAUUACAAGAUAAAGAAAGAAGAUAGAAAAAAUACUAACAAUGUACAUGACUAAUUUGGAUGGAGUGAUUAUGUAUUCAUGGCAAGUAAAGGAGCUUUUAUAGCAACUAUAUCCAAGUAGAUAGUUGAUUUAGAUGCUAUCAAGCACAUGAUUCUAUACAAGUAUUUAUUUAAUAAUUAAAAAGAAAUUUAAUUAAUAAUAAUUUAGAUGGAAGACAAUGAUAAAAUAUAUGCUAUUAAAAUUAGAACCAUUGUAAUGGAGAUUAUUAUAAAGGAUUAAAUCAAGAAGAUAAAAUUAUAUAUAAAAAAAAAUUGCAUGUGAAAAUAAAUAAAUAAAUAAAACUUUUUUUUCAUAAACAAAUUUAUUUUUCAUGGUUGUAAGAUUUAAUUUAACAUGUAUAGAUGUUUUAUAAAGCCAUUUGAUGAACAAAAUAUAGCCAAAGGCUUUAGAACUGGAAACUUCUAUUUUAUCAAUUGUAAAAAGAUGAAUGGAGUUGAAAUGGUGGUGUUUGCUGGAUUUCCAAAAGAUCAAGACAAAUUUAAUAUUAAUCAUCAAUGCUUUAGUCAUUUGAAUGCGAGAAGUAUAAAAGAACUCCAAUCCAUAGUAAGUAGCUUAGAUCCUAGUCAAUCAUAAUACAAAGAUAACACAAACUAUUUUAUGACCAAAUUUACUACCUUUAAAACUAUUAUGGCCAUUGGAGCAUUAAUGGACUUAAAAAUAUAUCAAAUAGAUGUAAGGAUGGCUUUUUUGAAUAGAAAGUUAAAAAAAAAUAUUUACAUAGAUUAACCAUAUGGAUUUAUUAAAAAAAUAUACAAUCUCUUACUUAUAAGUUGAAGAAAUUAUUAUAUAAGCUCAAACAAAUAUAAAGAGCAUGAUACCAAUGUAUUGACACAUUCUUUAUAAAUGAGAGAUUUGUAAGAAAUAAGGCUAAUCAUUUUAUAUACAUGAUGGAAUCAAAUAAUUUCUUAUUGAUUGUCAUCCUUUAUAUUAAUGAUUUGAUCAACUUAAUUAAAAUCUUGAAGAUGAUAUAUUGAUUUAAAACAAAGUUUAAAAAAGAGUAUGAAAUAAGUUAUUUGAAAGAACUUUACUAUUAUUUAGUAGUGGAAUUUGUAAGAAAUUAUACUUAAUAAACCAUUACCAUAAGCCAAAGCAAAUACAUCAAAGAAUUUUUUUUAAAAUUCAAUAUGGAGAAUUGCAAGUCUAUUAUAACACCCUUGGAAACCAAUUUGAAGUUGAUGAAGCUCAUAGAUAAAGAAUUUGCUAAAAUUGAAAAUCAAUGCAAGGUGUUCCAUAGAAGAUAUCAAUAUAUUUACUUAUAUAUAUAAUAGUUGAUACAAAAAUGGAUCUAGUAUAUGUAGUCUGUAUUGUGAGUCAACACAUGUCAAAUGCUAGACUAAUCCAUUGAGCAACUAUCAAAAAGAUCAUAAAGUACUUAAAAGAUACUUUGCAUUUUAAAUUGUGACUUAAAUGUGAUAAUAUUAUUUUACAUGAUUAUUGUAAUGUUGAUUAGACUAGAAAUAUAAUUGAUAGAAGGUUAACAACGAGAUAUAUGUUUUUUAUUGGAGUAGAAGCUAUCUCAUGGAAUUAUAAGAGAUAAUCAAUAAUUACAAGGUUAAGAAUAGAUGUGGAGUACAUGGCAACAAGUUAGAGUGCAAUAGUAGCAAUUUGGCUAUAAUAAGUUUUAAAAGGCAUUUGACUUGUGUUAUUGAAAGCAACUUCAAUGAAGUUUGAUAAUCAAGAAUGCUUUGUUUUCACAAAGAAUCCAAAGCAUCAUUCAAAAACAAAGCAUAUUGACAUUCAACAUCACUUUAUAAGAGAGAAGAUUGAAAUUGAAGUGAUUGACAUGAACUAUUGUGCAAUAGAAGACAUGUUUGUUAAUUUGUUGACAAAAGCAUAAAUUAAAGAUAAGCAUCACAUGUUUACAAAAGUAUUUAGUUUGAAAGUCUUUGAUCAAUAGCAAAGUAUAAGUAUUAAAUAUUAAAAUAAAUAAGUAAAAAUAAAAUUAAAAUAAAAAAAUAUUACUUUAAAUAAGUUACAAAUGGUCAAUAGUGAGAUGCCAAAGGAAUUUAGAAUUUAGAAAGAUAUGCCAAAAGAUCUUAAGAUAUACCAAAAUAUCCUAAGAUAUGCUAAAGGAUCCUAUAAUAUUUCUAGAUAUGCCAAAGUAUCCUAUAUUAUGCCAAAAGAUCUUACAAAUUCAGUAUUUAUUACAAAAUAAAUUCAAAUUUGUAUAUCAUAAAUUUAAAAAUAAAAAAAUAAAAAACAUAUUUUAUUUAUUUUAUAAUAUAAUAAAAAUAUAUGUACUAAAAAUUUACAAAAUAUUAUUUAUGUAAUAAAAUUUUCAUUAAAUAUUGUAAUAAUACUUAUAUAAAUUUAUUUUUGGAUUAAUUAUUAAAUUUAGUAAAGUAUGUCAAUAAAAUUCAUAUUUAUUGCCUAUUCUGCUUUCAAAGUUUUUGGAUUACCAUUUGAUCCUCAGUGUCAAGGGAAUUGAUUUUCAGUGAAAAAAAUAUCGGAUAUUUAAAAAUAAAAUUUUGAUAUUCAUACUUAAAUACUUAUAUGUGUGUGUAAUAAUUUCGACAUCUUAUUUGCAUAAUAUCCAUAUAUUAACAUUCAUGAUGCAAGAGACACAAGAUGUUCUUCAAAAUUAAAAGAAUAUGGAAUUGAUACUUAAAAGUAUUUAUGUUCAUUCUAAUUUGGUUCUGUUAAAGACUGCAAGUAUAUAUGUAUGUAUAUAUAUAGAUAUAAUCAUUAUUUUUUAGUUUCUUCAAAUUGACUAUAAUAAUAGUUUGUAUGAAGUUGGUGAACUUUUGUUAAACACAUCUAGUCUAAAAAAUCAGAUUGUUAUGUUUUUAUGUUUAACUGUUUAUACAAAAACUACAAAUGAAAAACAAUAAUCUGAUGUGAUGCUUCAACUUCGCAUUGAUUGUGAUAAAAAUCAAGCCCCAAUGACCCAUAUUUUUGUGUUUUGAUCAUGUAAGUUUGCAAAAGAUACGGGUUUUUUCCUUUAUGUUUUUCAUCUGUAUUCUUUGUUCUUUUGUACUUUUCUUCAAAGUAUAAUGUAGUCAUGUGUCUCAAUUUUUAAAUUGUUGUUUUUACAAGUGCUAUUACUCCUAACCCACUUCCUAAAAGUAUGAAGUACCACAGUAACAACAAGAAACUAUUAUGGGCAUUGAUUAUGUUUUGAAACCAAGAAAUUGUGUUGAAUUUCCAGUGCCAUGUUCUUGAAGCUUUCUAUAGUUAUGACGUAAUGAGUACUGUGUCCUUAUGAACUUAUUUUUAAUUUCUCAUCAAAACUUAAUUAGUCAUUUUUUUAAAUAAAUGAUUUUUCUUUAAUAGAAUGAUAGUUUUAUGUCAAGGGUUAUAUAAUCUUGACUUAGAAUAUUAAUUUUCAUUCAACAUUUUUAUACAGUAAUAUAUUCUAUUCAAAAAUGACUCUGGAAAUGUAACACCCACCAUAUUUUUCAUGAUUUACGACACAAAGAGUUUUGAUUUUCAUGAAAAAAUUCAGGGUGUCAAACAACAGCAUCCAAACGAGGCUCAAAAGAAAUACCAUCUAAAAGUCCAUCUUGCAUGCAAUGCUCUGGUAAAGUGCACUGUGGCAACCGCCUCCAGAGUUUUUUAAUUAAAUCAUACAACAAAACCAACCUAUCUUUCAAUCCACCAGGAAUAUAUAACAUAACAAGAUCACUAUAUCCUGCACAACUAAAGGAUUCUCCAUCCUUCAAAAACUCCUCAAACAAAAUCUUUGGCAUGGAAUCCACCUACAAAACAUUUUAAAAUUUUAUUAGUAUUGUGACUAUUUCUUUGUUCCUAACAUAGAUAAUUUAGAAUAUAAUUACAGAAAUAAAUAAAUAAAUAAAUAAAAUCUGUACCAACUGUAACCAAUGUAAUAUUCAAUAUAUAUAUAUAUAUAUAUAUGCACACACAUACAUGUUAAUGAAUUUAGAAAUAAUGUGUUCUUGUUUUACUAUGAAUAAACAAAAUCAGAUGUGUUAUAUUGCAAGUUCAAUUUGUUUACAAAGAUAAAUUCUUACAUAGAAAAGUAACUGCAGAUAGUGUUCAUACAUCAUUUCAUGUAAAAAAUUUACUUCAAACAUAAUUCAUUACAGAACAGAACUAAGAUUUAAGUACAUAAACAUUCAUGGGUACCUCAAUCCAUUGAAGAGAAGUUCUUUCAAGCUGCAGAAUACAAAUCUGUUUAGUGACAUCAUUCUUCAUUUGUCCACCGACAGUGUAAAUGUGGCCUUGACACUCCACCAAAGCAUGGUAGUCAAAGGCAUGAGGCAUGGGAGCUUGAAUUUUGCUCCACACACCUUCCACCAUAUCAUAUGCUACCAAACCAUCAAACUCAAAACGCUUGGAAUAUAGAAACCCAUUGCAAAGUAUGCCUUGGUGCCACCUGUAAAACCCUGGUGGGAUUAUACAUGUCUUCUCCCAGCAAUUGGUUGCUGAAUCAUAUACCUAGACAAUAAACAAUAAUAAAAUAACUCAGAAACAUAAAAUUAAACAAACAGAUCUGUUUAUUUAAUUACUUAAAACUCUUUCAUUCGUAACCCAGGUUGACUACUUAUUCAAACAAGAAUUUGAAGAAAAGCAACAUUCACAAAAACUUCAGAAGGUUUGAUUAGCUUAGAUAAUGAGUUUGAGAUUCAUGCCACUCAAAGUGAAAGAUCGAAUUGUGUUUUGAUGCGAGUUGUUGUUUUUUUUCUUUUUCCGAGGAAUCGAUCUAUGACUUCUUUUUUCUGUUUUUUUUUUCUUUUUUGUCUUUUCUAAUAUGGUAAAGCUCGUCCGUCGCUCUACUAACAGUGAAUAGAAAGCGAUGCAUGAAGAGUAUCAACUUUCAAGCGAGACUGCCGCUGAGUGGGCCACCGACAGAGGGAAAAAGACGGAUCUGAAUGGGGGGAGGCGUGC